GGGUAGAGUAAUGCGUGACCAACCUGCCCCAUGCUCCAGAAUAGCUCUUGGAAACGGGUGGUAAUGCUGGAUGCUCCAACUUGACGCAUGUCUUGUUGGGAAAGUGUUUAGUGGCAUGGGAUGGGGUCGCGUCCUAUCAGCUUGUAGGCGGGGUAAUGGCCCACCUAGGCUUCGACGGGUAGCCGGCCUGAGAGGGCGGACGGCCACAUUGGGACUGAGAUACGGCCCAGACUCCUACGGGAGGCAGCAGNG
rnacentral:rRNA from 1 species